rnacentral:rRNA from 1 species
GGGUUGUGAGGUUAAGCGACUAAGCGUACACGGUGGAUGCCCUGGCAGUCAGAGGCGAUGAAGGGCGUGCUAAUCUGCGAUAAGCGCCGGUAAGGUGAUAUGAACCGUUAUAACCGGCGAUACCCGAAUGGGGAAACCCAGUGUGAUUCGUCACACUAUCAUUAACUGAAUCCAUAGGUUAAUGAGGCGAACCGGGGGAACUGAAACAUCUAAGUACCCCGAGGAAAAGAAAUCAACCGAGAUUCCCCCAGUAGCGGCGAGCGAACGGGGAGGAGCCCAGAGCCUGAAUCAGCAUGUGUGUUAGUGGAAGCGUCUGGAAAGGCGCGCGAUACAGGGUGACAGCCCCGUACACAAAAGCGCAUGUGCUGUGAGCUCGAUGAGUAGGGCGGGACACGUGGUAUCCUGUCUGAAUAUGGGGGGACCAUCCUCCAAGGCUAAAUACUCCUGACUGACCGAUAGUGAACCAGUACCGUGAGGGAAAGGCGAAAAGAACCCCGGCGAGGGGAGUGAAAAAGAACCUGAAACCGUGUACGUACAAGCAGUGGGAGCACCCUUCGGGGUGUGACUGCGUACCUUUUGUAUAAUGGGUCAGCGACUUAUAUUCUGUAGCAAGGUUAACCGUAUAGGGGAGCCGGAGGGAAACCGAGUCUUAACCGGGCGUUAAGUUGCAGGGUAUAGACCCGAAACCCGGUGAUCUAGCCAUGGGCAGGUUGAAGGUUGGGUAACACUAACUGGAGGACCGAACCGACUAAUGUUGAAAAAUUAGCGGAUGACCUGUGGCUGGGGGUGAAAGGCCAAUCAAACCGGGAGAUAGCUGGUUCUCCCCGAAAGCUAUUUAGGUAGCGCCUCGUGAAUUCAUCUCCGGGGGUAGAGCACUGUUUCGGCUAGGGGGCCAU